CUCCCAUCAAACAUCCCGACCAGGGUCCCCACACAUCACGGGCCCGCCCGUCCCUCCAUCAUCAGGACGGGAUGAGCAACUUUUGUAUUAGCUCAGCCUGCGGGCUAAUCUGCCAAUUAAGAUCCUAAAUGUGCUCAUUAAUGACGACGCCUCGAUGCAUGGCGGAUGCAUUGCGACCGCCAUCACACUCCUGAGGAUCAUUGGCGUAAACAAUUUACCUGGAGGAUUAAUGCAAUAAGUGAAUCCGGGUUUCAUGAUUCACCAACGUUCAAAAAAGAAAAGAAAAAAAAGAAAAGAAAAGAAAAAAGCAAGUCAGAGGGUGACGGGGGCAGCAGCUGCGCCACAUCUGGAGGAAUUCUAAGCCCCCACCCCCACACCCCUCUGCAGUUAUGUAAGAGCUAACUCAGCAGAACAGCUGCUUCCCGUUGCAUACUGGAAGCGUGGGCUGAAACGCGCCGCCAGAUGAAAAGUGUUCCCGUUCGAUACCCUGUCGGCAGGAUCGCUUGCUGAGAAAGGAAAACACAUGAUUGGCUGGGGACCAGUUCAGGUUGUACCCCACUUCUGGCCCAGUGUCAGCUGGGUUGGGCUGCAGCAUGGCCACAACCCUAGUGAGGAUAAGCAUUACAGAAGAUGGAUGGAACAAUCGUGUUCUACUCCGGUCCUGGAUCCCAUGCAGAGAAGCAAGUUGAGAAGCAAAUGGGAUCGCUGUUCCUUGCUGCAGUCAGUACUGGAGCAGCUAAAGUCUUUUCGAGGCUUUCUGUUCCUGUUUCUCUCGUUUCCUUGAGUCCGACAUCCUUGAGAAUCCUCGCUUCUCUAAUCUUCCAGCUCACUUCCAUUUUUACGUUUGACUCCAGUGUUCACACACACACACACACACACAAUUUGUGCACCCUCACCGUACUUGUCAUUCUUCCUUGCACCACGCCCACAGACUUUUGUUCCCAUUUUUAAUUUUAUUUCAAAUUGAACAAAUUACCUCCUCAAUUUAUGGUUGUGUCUUCCUCAUCCACAGACUCACAUUGAACAUAUGAAAAAAAAAACAUGGGAGUUCAUUCACUAGGAACAAAAUAGUUCACAGAAUCCAUCCGUCCAUCUCUCAGCAGGAGUAUCGAUGU